rnacentral:rRNA from 1 species
CAGUUCGGAUUGAAGGCUGAAAUUCGCCUUCAUGAAGCCGGAAUUGCUAGUAAUGGCAGGUCAGCAUACUGCCGUGAAUACGUUCCCGGGCCUUGUACACACCGCCCGUCACACCAUGAGAGUUGGGAAUACCCGAAGCCUGUGAGCUAACGUUAAGAGGCAGCAGUCGAAGGUAGAAUCAAUGAUUGGGGUGAAGUCGUAACAAGGUAGC